GACGAACGCUGGCGGCGUGCUUAACACAUGCAUGUCGAGCGGUAAGGCCCUUUCGGGGGUACACGAGCGGCGAACGGGUGAGUAACACGUGGGUGACCUGCCCUCAGCUCUGGGAUAAGCCUGGGAAACCGGGUCUAAUACUGGAUAUGACUCCAUGACGCAUGUUGUGGGGUGGAAAGCCUUGUGCGGCUGAGGAUGGGCCCGCGGCCUAUCAGCUUGUUGGGGGGGUGAU
rnacentral:rRNA from 1 species